UUAUAUGAUGAUCAAUUAUCACGACGGUCAACAUAAAGCCACACGUUGGUAUUGAUGAAAAUGCCUGUGACAGGGCUGUAGAUCUGAUA
rnacentral:snoRNA from 1 species